AGUGAACGCUGGCGGUAGGCCUAACACAUGCAAGUCGAACGGCAGCACAGUAAGAGCUUGCUCUUACGGGUGGCGAGUGGCGGACGGGUGAGGAAUACAUCGGAAUCUACUUUUUCGUGGGGGAUAACGUAGGGAAACUUACGCUAAUACCGCAUACGACCUACGGGUGAAAGCAGGGGAGCUUCGGACCUUGCGCGAUUGAAUGAGCCGAUGUCGGAUUAGCUAGUUGGCGAGGUAAAGGCCCACCAAGGCGACGAUCCGUAGCUGGUCUGAGAGGAUGAUCAGCCACACUGGAACUGAGACACGGUCCAGACUCCUACGGGAGGCAGCAGUGGGGAAUAUUGGACAAUGGGCGCAAGCCUGAUCCAGCCAUACCGCGUGGGUGAAGAAGGCCUUCGGGUUGUAAAGCCCUUUUGUUGGGAAAGAAAAGCAGCAGGUUAAUACCCCGCUGUUCUGACGGUACCCAAAGAAUAAGCACCGGCUAACUUCGUG
rnacentral:rRNA from 1 species